CUGCAGUCUGCAACUCGACUGCACGAAGUCGGAAUUGCUAGUAAUCGCGGAUCAGCAUGCCGCGGUGAAUACGUUCCCGGGCCUUGUACACACCGCCCGUCACACCAUGAGAGUCGGGAACACCCGAAGUCCGUAGUCUAACCGCAAGGAGGACGCGGCCGAAGGUGGGCUUGAUAAUUGGGGUGAAGUCGUAACAAGGUAUC
rnacentral:rRNA from 1 species